GGCGUUAUAGUGUAGCGGUUAUCACUCGAGAUUCUGAAAACAUGAUCUUCUCGAAACCCAGGUUCGAUCCCUGGUAACGCCU
rnacentral:tRNA from 1 species